rnacentral:rRNA from 1 species
UCAGUAGGCGGUGCGGCAAGUCGGGAGUGAAAUCUCUGGGCUUAACCCAGAGGCUGCUUCCGAAACUGCUGUGCUCGAGUGUGGGAGAGGCGCGUGGAAUUGCGGGUGUAGCGGUGAAAUGCGUAGAUAUCUGCAGGAACACCCGUGGCGAAAGCGGCGCGCUGGACCAUUACUGACGCUGAAUGACGAAAGCUAGGGGAGCAAACAGGAUUAGAUACCCUGGUAGUCCUAGCCCUAAACGAUCAGGACUUGGGGUGUCGCCCGUUCGGGCGUCGUCCCGGAGCUAACGCGUUAAGUCCUGCACCUGGGGAGUACGGUCGCAAGACUGAA